rnacentral:lncRNA from 1 species
AAAUCUCAUUUGCACAUUAGCACAAUAUUCCCAUUCAUUGCAAAAGUUUGCUUUUAGGCGAUCAGGCCUGAAACUUUCCGUUUUACUGGCAGUUUCUCAUUUUGUCACCAAAAGCCCCCCCAAACCAUUUUCCAUUUGUUCCUAAGAACUAGCAAAUGCACCGUUUGUUCUAAUUCCUUUUCGAUGAUUUUACUUUUAAUUUACCAGACAAUGAAAUUCUGCCAAAUCAUUCAGAAGCUCACUGUGGUUGUGGUUGGCUAAAUUCAAAUCUGAAUGUGAAAUUUGACCCUUUCUGAAAUCCCUUGUCUUUUACUGAGGCGAUUCCUUUCUCUCAAGGCUAUUUAAAAGAAAGCCUCCUUCCUUCCAAAGAGGAGAGAAGAGGAAAGCGAAGACAAUACUUGCGAGGCCGGGUGAGCUGCUGGAAAAUGCUCAUUUGACAGAUGAAGAAACUGAGGCGAACAGGGUGAAGUGACGUCCUCGGGGUCAAACAGCUAGGGAGGACUUCGCAUGCCUGGGGUAGACAUCCUCUUAACUCAUCUACAUAUUUGAGGCAAGCUGUUUAGCCCUCCUGCAGAAACAGUUUAUCUGGAUGUGGCUGCUGCUUGUGCUACAGCUUCUUGGAGUUACAGGUGGGAAUUGGGUGACGGUUGGACACCAAAGGAAGAAAGCAGCCUUGAAAAGGGCUUGGCAAGCCCUCACACCAGAGGACCAGGGCGCAGACAUUGAAAGGCAAGACCACCUGAACAAGACUCAGAGGCAAGUUCCUUCUGGGGUCCGAACUGAAGAUACCACUAUACCCGCUUUGCCUACUUUGGUGGUAUCGAACUCAAAUAAAUUGUGGAUUUGCUAAGUCUUACAUGAGGAUCUCUGCAGGCUACAGAUUAACCUAGGACACCACAUAUUCACAUUUUCUAUAUUGUUUUGUAUUUUUAUUUCUUGUGUUAAAUAUUUCCCAAUUACAUUUUAAUCUGAUUUGGGUUAGACUCAAGCAUUGAUGGCCUGGCUGUUUUUUUUAAACUCUUAUUCUCUGUUUAAGUAACAGCUUGAAGACAGAAGGGCAAAGGUCAGGCAAAUGGUUAAAUAACUUACCCAGGGUCACAUAGCUAUGGCUGACCCAGUUUUUGACAGCUCUGGCGUACCUUUCAAUGCAAAUGCAGGAAUCCAAGAGAAGGUGAACACAUUAGCUAGGCUAGACUUCAUGUUCAAGGCAUGAGAAGUCACAAGUUAAGUAUGAUUAAACAAAAGAACUGAACACCCUGGUCAUAUCUGAAAAUAUAUGAUUUCUCCCUCUAAAAAGAAAAGUAAAUACAUAGUUCCUCCUGAACCUCUAAUUAGCUCAUACCUCCCUCCCUCCACGAGAAGAGAGGGGGAGCCUGAAGGCUCUCUCUUGCUUCCACCAUUAAGUGGCAAGUUCCCACCUUCCAAACUCAGUUUCUUUUUCUAAAAAUGAGGAUGAUAAUACUUCCCUGUCUGCCUCCAAGGUUACAUGCUUUAAAAAUCUAUGAAGCUUUUCUGUGAUAUAUCUUAAAAAACACAUUACUUAUGCUACACAAAAUAAGUGUUUGGUAGCAAGUGUUAUGGUGACAUCCCCCUGUUGUCAGACAGAGCUCUUGGGUAGAUGGUGCAAAUCUCUCCCUCCUUAAGGGGUAGGGAGUAGAGAAGCUAGCAGCUUUGGUUUUGAACCCAUUGUACCUAUAGACCCAUAGUAUUUAGGGGGCAGAUUGUAGUCUAAUACCUCUUUCUCAGAGUCUUGGAGAACAAAAGAGCUCUUCUCAUGGGCUCUUUUGUUCUCCUCAAGGCAGGAAUCACAGUCUCCCUUGGAGAAGGGGGAUCAAGACUCCAGAGAUCUA